rnacentral:lncRNA from 1 species
AGGGAGUUCUCGCGGACUCCUCACAGCCAGCGUGUGGCAGGAAUUAUUAUUAUCCCAACAUUCUCCAGAGGAGGAAACCCAGGCUCAGAGUGGUUUUUAGCCUCCAGGACGAUGACGGCUGCUGCUGCACUGGCCUCGUCCCUGGAUCCCUCGCCGCAGAUCUGUCCUACACAGGGUUCCAGAGGAGUCAUCCUAACACCAUCUGACCCUGUCCCUCUCAUGCUCAAAACAUAUUUGUAGCCUUCAUCACCUUCAUGACAUGGAUACUGCUGAGUUCUCCAGACACUUCACUCCAGAGUGCAGCUAUUGUGAGAAAUGACUCUUUGUUCCCCAAAUAAGCCUCAGAAUCUGGAUAUGGGGCCUGAAUCUGGAUAUGGGGCCUCAACACAUGCUCCAACUUGGACUAGAAUGUCCUUCUCUCUGGUCUCAGUUAACUCUGUCCCUCAGGUCUCAGUGCAGAAGUCACCUCCACCACGAAGCCUCCUCUGUCUGACCCUCUGUUUUAAACUUUUUCCUACUGUAAAUAUGUCCCAUUUUCUGAAAAAAAUCAGCAUAUUUUAAAGUAUUCUGGCACAAAGCUGGUUUUCAGCUUUCAGAGCCAUUUAUUUAUUUAUCUAUUUAUUGGAGACAGAGUCUCGCUCUGUCACCCAGGCUGGAGUGCAGUGGCGCGAUCACAGCUCACUGCAGCCUCCACCUCCCGGUUUCAGUGCCUCAGCCUCUCGAGUAGCUGGGAUUAUACCACACCACCAUGGCUGGCUUUUGUAUUUUUAGUAGAGACAGGGUUUCAUCAUGUUGCCCAGGCUAGUCUUGAAUUCAUGACCUCAGGCAAUCUGUCCACCUCAGCCUCCCAAGUGCUAGGAUUACAGGCGUGAGCCACCGCACCCGGCCCAGAGCCAAAUAUUUAUAUGUUUCUGUAGGUUUCUAUACAGUGGGAUGCCUUUUCUGUGCUCCUAUGAGACCCUGUAGUAUGGCACAUAUUACCCUGUGUGGUGGACCUGGGCUUGGGCCUGGCUCUUCUUGCCUGUCCGCCUCCGACAGCUCUUCCGGUAGAGACAGAAACAGCAGCUGAAGAUGAGGAGGCCUGAGACCAGCACGAUGGUGGCCAGGGCCCAGGGGGGCACUGCAGAGGGGUGGAGACAACACACAUUGAGGCCUGGGCAGCACGCAGGCUGAUUCAGUCCUGAUUACACGUGGAAGCUGGAAUGCUGGCCUCCUUUUCCCUCCAGCCAUUUUCAUUGCAUUUCUUCCUGUGUUUUUCUUCCACCUAAUGUGGCCUAUAGAGAGAUUCGAUGCCCCAACCCAGGCUGACACCAUCUGGAUUUGCUUGCUUGUUAGUUCUGCCUUUCCUUACCCGACCCCGCCCCCCAUUUCUGCUCAACUCCUGAUGCUUUUACAAGAAGCCCUGCUCCUCAUCGGGCCUGUUUCCUUAUCUGUAAAAGAAGAGCUAGGUGGACCUUCCAAUUCUAAG